rnacentral:rRNA from 1 species
GACGAACGCUGGCGGCGUGCCUAACACAUGCAAGUCGAGCGGAGAAAUUAAAGCUUGCUUUAAUUUCUUAGCGGCGGACGGGUGAGUAACACGUUGGCAACCUGCCCUUGAGAGGGGGAUAACACAGAGAAAUUUGUGCUAAUACCGCAUAACAUUUAGACUUCGCCUGGAGUUUAAAUCAAAGGAGUAAUCCGCUCAAGGAUGGGCCCGCGGCGCAUUAGCUAGUUGGUGAGGUAAUGGCUCACCAAGGCGACGAUGCGUAGCCGACCUGAGAGGGUGAUCGGCCACAUUGGAACUGAGACACGGUCCAGACUCCUACGGGAGGCAGCAGUGGGGAAUAUUGCGCAAUGGGGGAAACCCUGACACAGCAACGCCGCGUGAGCGAUGAAGGCCUUCGGGUUGUAAAGCUCUGUCUUUGGGGACGAUAAUGACGGUACCCAAGGAGGAAGCCACGGCUAACUACGUGCCAGCCGCCGCGGUAAGAC